rnacentral:lncRNA from 1 species
ACAAUCAUUUUCUAUUUAAUUUCUUUCGUUUGCGUAAACGUUCCAGCAAGCAUAACAAACUUACAAGCAGUCAAGCACACAAAAAUCACGCAAGUAAUUAUUGUAUACAAUUACAAGAUUAGCAAAAAUGAACAUAUACAAAAAAAAACAAAAGGAGUUCAUACAUGAACAAAAUAUGAAAGAAAAAUUACAGACUCAUGUAGACCAAAUCAAAAAAGCAAAGGAAGGGAAAAUUACAUUGCAAUCUUACGUUCUUCUCAAGUCUUUUUUUUCUUGGAGAGAGCCGGGGAGUACAUCGCUGCUCAGAUCUAGGCCGCAUAUCUCCUCCUCAUGAGGAACGGUGAGGACGUGGCUUACCUCGCUGCUACUUCCAUGGCGGCGACGGGGAAAGUCAGAGGAGCUCACUUCCCAGUUCUGGUCGUGGGGAUCCUUCCUUGCAUCGCCACCAAGAUCUGUGGACCUCUUUGCAUGUUCGUUAUUGACAUACUUUUAUUGCCAUUUAUUUUCAUUUUAUACUAACCCGCUACUUGGCACCUGAAAUACCCCAUAUUCGCAUAUGUGUUGUGUUUUGGACCAUAUGGUAAAAUCACAGAAAAUACGACAUAAAUGAAGAUUUUUCUACAAGUUGAACUUGGACCCGGACUUUGGAUAUUGGAAGGCCUAAACAUGAACAUUGAACUGCAGGCCCGCAGGAAGAGCUGAAACUUGCACGGGUCAUAUCUUCCUCAUCCGAACUCCGAUUGGGGCAAAUUUACAGGGAAAUUUGUAUAGCUCGAUGAGAUCUACAACUUUCGGAUGAAGCACUCCAAAACAUGGCAGGCCGAUCGGCCUGGUCCGUUUUCGGCCCCGAUCAUCGCGCCCUUUCACCAGGAGGUUGCCCACGAUGUUCCUAAGGUUAUUUUCCAGAAACUUGGCUUCGAAGGCACCCGAACUGACACUGCCAAAGACUUUCAACAAGGAGGGAGAAUCCUAAUGAGUUUAGACCUAGCCGCCACCGCCACAAGAGAAGAAAAAGGGAUUUAGAUCUGAUCAGGAGCUUCGUCGUCGAAGGGGACCUCUAGAGAAGGGAGGAAACCCCUAGGCCGAUCAGCCUAGGGUGCCCCAGGCCAAUCGGCUUGAGGCCCUCGUGCCUCCCCUCGUCUUCGUCUUCGGUCAGGGUAUUCUCCAAGUGCUCCUUACCCCCUUUAUUCGUCAACAUGUGUAAGAUCAUAGGGUAAAGCCUCUGUUCAUCCCUAUGGUUGAUAUGGUCCUUGAUAUGUAACUGCUACAUGUUCUUUAUGCCCAUUAAUGCAUCAUGGUCUAUGUCGUUGUAAUGCUUCGUUUACAUAUGUAAGAUCUCUAUCUUGUACAACAUAUGUUCUUAGUAGAGUUUUCGGUAAUCGUGGUGAUUAGCUUAAUUCUGCGGAUGCAUGUGUGUGAGCGAGGUGAUUGAUUAUCCCUGCGUAGUGACAGUAUGUAGUGGGGAAAAGGCCGAGUGAGCACGUAACCGCUGUGAUAGCUAGUGAGGGCAUCACCCAUCUGUAUAGUAGAUGCAUAUUCUUGUGAACCUAAAUCCUAGGGAGGGAACGCUUAUAUCUAUCUCUAUCUCCUAUCUUAUGUUAACCUUUGCUAUAUUGUCUCAAUCUCUGUUAUUAGUUUAGUUUAUCUCUCUACACGAUAAAUAUACUCAAUUUUGUUAGCAAGAUUGGUAUAAAGUAAGAGCCAUCAAUCCACUUGUUCCACGAAUUAAUAAACCUUGGUGGAAUACUGUAAGGGAAAAGUUACAACUGAUCCAUGCGCUUGCGGUUAACGAAUUGGUGCGCUAACUGCCAUCAACAUAUGCUUGCGGUUCACGAAUUGGCGCGCUAACUGCCAUCAACAACACUCGGCUGCCGCCCCCAGCCUUUCCUUGCCACCACCGCUAGAUCCGAGUUCUCUCUCGAGAGGAGGGAGAUAAAGGGAACGAAGAAUGACGCAUGAGAGAGGGAGAGAAAUAAUGGUGAGAAAGAGAGAGCAGAUCUCACCUUUGCAAUGGAACACCAACUCCUAGCAACGUAACGACGGGGAGGUCAUCCACGGAUCAGGAGGCCUCGGAUCCGUCCGGCCACCGCCUCAGUCACGCCGGUGAGGAGAGAGAGAGAAUUGACGGGUGGAAGACCGAGAGGGCGAUGAGAGAGCCGGUGAGGCUGCGAUUGAAAAAGCAACCCUAAUAAUUAGGGAGCAGUAAUGUUCUUUCCAAUCUCCCUUCUCACUCUUUGAUUCUCUAAGCAAUUGGAUCACAUCCCAUCCGCUAGAUUCCCAUCCAACAGCUGCAAAAGACCACCUCCGGGGUACAGAACCUCCGGAUGGUAUUUUCGGCGACCACGAGCAAGUGGGGAU